GCACAACACGACGAACACGGCCACGACGGUGACGACGACGACGACGACGACGACAACGACGAGGAUGAAGAAGAAGAAGAAGACGCGUUCAGAUUUCUAACGGCCAGCGAAGAAAGACAAAAGGUGCAACGCUCGGGAAAGGAUCGAACGUGUGCAUCGAGAUAUCGUUGGUCCGUCCCGCGGGCUAAUCACGAUGAUCCACAAAUCAAUGCUAAUCGAUGCGAGAGAAUCGAGAUAUCGAACACGAGCGACAAUGGUUCAUGGAUACCUUCGGACACAACCUGCCGUGGCGUGACCCGGAAACAGAUCUCACCGAACUAGCUCGAUGUUACAUCCACACGAACGUAUAGUACGGGCAAAAGGAUUCGGUUCGAGUCGGAGAGCGUCGACAGGAAGGGAGUUUGAUUGGACGUGCACCGAUCGCGUAAUUAGACACGCCUCAUAUCUCGUCGAUGGCAUUGGGCGGCACCCGUCGAUCGUCGAGGGAAGACGAGAGAGAGAGAGAGAGAGAGAGAGAGAGUCGGACGAGAGCCGAGAAACGAAAGAAGGAGAUGCCCGCGUCGAGACGAGGAGAUUCGAAUCGCUCGCACCAGGGAUGUGUAACGAUGUAUCUAACUGCGAGAGUGCGAGAGAGAGAAACGUAGGUGGGUGUCCACUCGCACGUUCAUACGUACGUGUUCGCACAUCGCCGUGUCCGUGUGUGUCUUCAUUACGGACAGCCGUGAGAGCAUUUAGAUGAUAUCGUAAUGGCAAUUACCCGCUUGAUCCUUCGGCCAGGGCUCGUUCGCCAACUCCUUUGCCGGUCGGUGGCCACACCGACUAAUAUUGGUUCUGCUCAUUAUACCGAGCUCUUACCGAUCGUACCCAAAGCCUCUUGUCCUCUUCCUCGCUCUUUUCUCCUUCUCUCUUCCUCUCUUUCGUUCUUUCUCUACAACCUUCUCGCCAUCGUUUCGCUCUUCGUGGGUGUGUGACCACCUACCUCGCCCCCGUCCUUCCGGUACACAUCCCGUCCUCUCUCCUUCGCCUCUUUAGGAACCGAUCCUUGUCUAGUCGCGAUCGCUCGAACAAAUCUUUCCAUGUACGAGAGAGAACAAGGAAGACCGGAGAUCGGAAUCUCCGCGACACCAGUUCCACGCAGCUCUCUAAGGAUAUUCCCCUCCAAGAGGGAAAUAGGAAAUAAGCGGAUAGAAAUUACGAGUUGAAGUUAACUAACAUACGAGAUGCAAGAACAUAUCUUCUGGGAUUCAUGUUUCGCGAGAGCUUUUAAAGAUCCUUCAAAGUCAAACGACGGAAACGUCCUCGUGGAAUAGAAUAUUUAUAUCUCAAUGAUCGAUCUCGUCGUAAUAUUGUCGGUUGGACGAAUCGUCCUUUCGAUCGAUAAAGUACGUCGACGACGUUGACGCUCUAAUUAGGAAACGUUCGGAAGCGCAAAGUUUCAGCUGCUCGGUUGACUGCUAAGGGCAGUUUUAUCGGUGGACGGUGGACGACGGAGAGGAAAGUUAAUUGAGUGUCCUCGCCCUGGGUGUCCGAUGUUGUCCAGCGUUGUCGCCGCUACCUGAGGGCGUGGGCGCUCUGAUAUGAGUUACGAGUCUGUCGUAUUACACGGCAGAGACCACGGUGCGGCCACGGUGGUCCUGCCCUUCCCGAGAUUACGGACCAUUUAUACACAGGUACGGGCCAUCGAGGAAUACCCGAGUGUCGGCUGGCGUUUCAUCUACUUUAUAAGCGUCCUUGUACGCGUCCCUAUCGCGCGAAGGAUUAUCGGAAUAUCCUUGUCGUCUGGAGUUUGCAGAUUCGUACGACUCCUCUUCUGGAGAUCCUCCCUGGCGAGAUCUCUUACAGACCUUCGAUAACGUAGCGUCGAUAUUUUCGUUAGGGAUCGGUUGGAUUAGCGAGCGAACGAUCCUCCGAACGUGCCCAGCUGGCACGUUGUAUCUUCCAUUGAAGCAAGUACGUAUUCACAAAUUUUACGAGGACUUUUCGUCUAUCGUAAUAGUUUUGGCGCGAAAAGAAGGAAACGCGUCGUAAGGAACGAUCGUGGAAAGGGAUGGCAACUGGCACUUAAUAAUCAAUAAUUUAUUAAUACUCUACGUUCAACAUUAGUACGGCGAGUAAAUCAAAGCGUUCUUGUUUUACGGCUCGCAUUCAUUACCGGGCAGGUUGCAUUCGCUCGUAUAUCUCCGUGAGUUCCGGAGCGCGAUGAAGAGCGAGCGCGAGAGAGAGAGAAAGAGAGAGAGAGAGAGUGAAAGAGAGGGUGAGCAAGAAAAGGGGAAGAAUACUCGAGGGAAAAAGUGUAGGAGACGCGCAGAGAAGAGAGAAAGAAGGAGAAGAAGGUAUCUGUUCGAUGCUCUUGCUCUCAGCCCCGUUUUAACUCGCGAUCGUUGUUGUUGUCGUACACAUUGUUAGUUCGGUUUACGAGGCACGCUUUAAGUUCUUUACGCUCGCGUUUACGCUCCUUACGCCUUUACGUUUACGAUCGUUACGAAUGCCCCUCGAGGCCUCUGCUCUCGCGACAACUCCUCCAUGCGACUCGUCCUCCUCCGCUGACACCGGGAUCAGCACGAGGGGUUAAGGCCAGAGCAAAGUCCUUUUCCACCUUCCUCCUCGCGAAUCCUCGCCACGACGUACUCUCUGUCUCGAAAUCCUCGUUAUCCUCGGGCGCGGACCUCCUCGGAAAUUUAUCGUCCUGCGUCGACGACAUCCGAGACGGAGUCGACGGAGCUUGGGAGCUUAAUGACCUCUCUCUCUAUUUCUCUCUCCCCCUCUCUCUCAUUUCUCUCUCUCUCUCUUUCUCGCUAGACGAGUAUACAGCUUAGGCAGUCAAAGUAUCGAUCUUAUUCUCCUUCCUUCUUCGAUCCGUUUUCUCGAUCCAGCUAGGCUUUUGUAAUAAAAGCUGAAAGUGAGACGCUCGAGAGAAACUGUCGUGUAGUCGUUAUCAUACUUUAGACAUCGCGUGACACGCGACCUUCUCUCUCUCUCUCUCUCUCUUAUCAAGGAUCUAGCAGCACCUGCGAGAAAUCGGGUAGGCCGGUAAUCGUCGUCUCACGGUAGUUUUCUCGUAUCUUCUUUCCAUGCACGAGGACGACAAGAGUCAAGAGUACCGGAGAAAAGUGGAUGUCGUGGUGCGGAACGUGCGGGAUAUCGGACCGGUACCGCCGUUGGCGCAAGCGCGCAUAAUGAGAGUGAUAUAAUAACGACGGACACCAGCGACUCGUACUCGGCGACACAACUCAUCCCGACAAAAGGAUACCGCUCCCUCUUCAAAGAGGAGAAAGAGUAGAGAGAGAAAAGAAGGAGAGAGAGAGAGAGAGAGAGAGAGAGAGAGAGAGAGAGAAAGAGAUAUGGUGAUACGCACUCGAAAGGAAGGGAAGAAAUGCACGGCAUGUCUACCAGAGGAGAAACGCUGUAGCCAGUCGAGUUAAUUAAGAGGAUCCAACCUUGACGGACGUAGCCAUUGUGCACGCGCGCGCGCACGCUUUUCCCUUCUUCUGCGAUCGGCCUCGUCGGCGCGCGUGAUACCAUCCUAAACGUACGUUUCUACGUGUAUCCAAGUAGCAACCCUUCGUCCUUGUCGUCUACCAUUUAUAGAAGACAUCUUUCCUUUUCGAACGUUCGCUCGCUCUCUUUCCCUUUCUCUAUCUAGAAAAAAGUUUAAUUAUUUUAAAAAAGAAAGGAAAGAAGUAAGGAAGCUGAUGCGAGCGGAAUAAAGUUAGCACAGUCUUUCGAUCGCUUUAUUCAACGUAUUACCCAGUCCUCGAACGCGAUGCAAAAUACUCCGUACAAGAGUAAGCGAGUUCUGCAUAGUUAUCUAACGAUCGGAAGUACAACGUUAGUCACGGCAGGGGACAACUUCGAAAGCGUUGCUCGAGAGUGCGCGUGCGAGACGUUUAAAGAGUUCCUUCGGUUCCUUUAUCUCCCAGACCUCCUUUUUCUUCUCUCAAUUUCUUCUUGACUUUUUUCCUUCAUCUUUUUUUUUCGUUUUUCUUUUCUUUCUUUUUUUUUGCGUUGACUUUUUACGAAGAGGAAACGGCAAGAAAACGAAAUAAAACUGACGAGAGCGAUAGCGCGGCUCGAAUAUAAAAGGUGGUUCAGCGGCUGCGGCUGCGGCUGCGGCGGCGGAGGCGGCUCGCACGCACCACGCGGAGAUAUAAAGCCGAGGGGGCGUCUUGGUGACAAUUAAGAGGCGAGCGAGGCCACAAAUCACCGGGCGGCGAGCUCUAAUCACAGCCGCUCGACUACUUUCUCUCUCUCUCUCUCUUAUAACUUUUUUUCCCCUCCCUUUCGCACGUUUAAUCGACCUUUCCGAGUCGCGUUUAAAGACACCGACUCUCUUUGCAGAACCACUCGGAGGUGUUGAUUCGCACAUGUGGACUUUGAUAUUACUUUUUUCUUCUUACUUUCGAAGGAGUUAUUACGAAGAACGGUAUAAAGAAAAGUUUGUUCUUCCGCGCGAAAGAGCUUUAUCAAAAAUUCGUACCGUUAUUAGCUGGAAGGCUCUCGACAAACGAGACUCGAUCGAAAGCACGAUGGAGUAAUCUAUAUCAAAGUUCUGGCCGGUCUUUAGCCUUUGGUAAUAAAUCGAAGGUUGCGUCGUAGGAGCGGAGAAAAACGGGAUACGCUCGAAGGAUCUCGAGUACCGUACGCAGGUGCGAUUACCGUAGAGUCUCGAUCCUUACGACGUGCCUUGGGAGACGGAACAGGGUCGAGUCUAGGAGAGCGUCACCCUUCAGAGCGAACGCCUCGUCCUCUUUUUCUUCCAUUUCGCGCGCACUUUUCCUUAUUUCACGGUACCGAGAAUCGAGAGAGUACGAAGCAACUGGUAUAUACAGGGUGUCCCGUUUUAAUCGAUAGGAGUUAACACGAAACUCGUUAAUGAUAAAGUUAUUGGAAAGAAAGUUUGUUUAUUUCGCGGAUACUCGUUUACACCUUACACCUACGUUACGUUCGUGCGAACGGACCUUGCUACCGCUGUUUAAUGAUAUUCAGCCGGAUCGAUUAAUAUGGAACACCCUGUACAGCCGCGAAGAGAUUGCUAUGCUAAUUCCAUUAAUGUCGCAUGAGUUAUGGUCAGGCCGGGUGUGGACGCGCGUAUUCUUCUUUCCAAGAGUUUCUUAACGUUCGGUGAACUACGAGGGGAUACUUAAAAGAGGCGGAAGAGUCGACGAUGUCCGACGAGUAGAAACGAUAUUCCUACGCGCCUUGCCGACUGGCGCGUAUCUUAAGACCCGAUAAAUUGAAUGCGCGCGAGCGGAACUGGCUGGUCAGGAGGGAGGUGGCUGAAAACGAAUGAAAGCGGAGUGCGCGCGAGCAACCGCGUUAUCGUUCGCGAGAGAACCGUCGAAGAAGCGGUCUCCCGACGGCCGGCAGGUGAAAAAAAAUCUUCUAAUCUCCGGUAAUUGAGAUUCGAUACCAAUUAAAAGCGAACGCACGAGCGCGAGCAAAGUCGCGCGCCGUCUCUUCGCGGUAAUCUCGGUAUUAAAAUCGUUCUCUUACGUUCCUCUGCCUUUUCGUCUCUGCUUCCUUCUCUCUCUCUUUCUUUUUUUAACUUCCGCGAGGAAACGAUAAAGAGAAUUCUUUUGGUACUCGUUUUGUAGAAAUUUCCGAUCAAAGCAAAUACACCUUUCGUAGUUCCUUUAUUUUUAGCCGUUCCUACGAAAAGAUAUAGAUGUAAUUAAGAAUUUAAUUAGAUAGGCGGGAAAAGGGAACGACUGAACGAACGCGCGCUCGUAGGCAGAUAGAUACCGUUUCUACUUGGAAGUACCAAAGACGGGAUAUUCGAUCGCGAGCAAGCUCUUCCUCGUCGGUUAAUUCGCACCCACGCUCGAUCAUUAACGUCGAUUUCCGACCUGCCUCAACACCUCGCAUUAUGCGCUCUGAAUCACAGCGCUCGCGUUCAGGACCGUUCUGUCUCGAUGGCCCGAAGGUGCCAACGUACCGCGCCCUUCCGUCGCUCUCUCUUUUUGCUCUUUCCUCUGGAUUGCAUCCAUCAGGCUCUAUCACCGACGUUUUCCGUGCGCCAUAAAUAACGGUCAUUCCCGGUAAUUGUAUUAGAUGAGAACCUGUCACCUGUUCGGUACGGCAAGCCCUACGAGGAGGAGAAGAAGAAGAAGGAAGCAAGAGCUUGGUGGAAAGAAAGAAGGGUUAAGAGGUAGAACGAGGACGAGGAGAGCUGGGGAAGGUGGAGAAGGCGAGGUCGAUGAUAAAUCAAGCAACGGGGCAGCACUCGAGGGUUGACUCUUCUCGCGAACGAGGGAGACGAAGGAAGGAGUGCCGGAAAAGUGGAGAGAGAGAGAGAGAGAGAGAGAGAGAGAGAGGGAGAGGGAGAGGUAGGGAAGGUACGCCAGUCCAAGGGCUAAAUCAUCGGUGAUUGCGACGUGGGUCGCCCACUCUCUACCUCACGGAUCUUCCUCGUCUUCUCGUACACCUCUUCUCCUCUCUUCUCCUUCUGCGAUGCUCUUACAAAGUUUAUUUCCACGACGAACGCACGUGCGUGCGUGUUCGCCGCGUACCUACGUAGGCUCUUCCUCUCUUUCUCUGGCCUCUCCAAUUAUUACCAAGUAAUUACGAGCGUGAGAUCGUUAUCAUAUACCUACGUAUAAGACGUUCCUACGUCGUUAUCAUCACGUAACGAAUUUUCUAACUUGGCAAGAUUAAUCGAUAUAAUUUUAUACUAGACAUUGCAAGAACAGCGAACGCCUCGGGCAAAUUUUAUCGCUCGUGAAUGCGAUAUCGAGAGGAUAUAAAGUCGACGCAGGACGAUUUCGUUCGAUAACAAAAGGGGGUCGAUAGUAAAGCGCGAUGUUUCCCGAGAAAGCUACUUGCUCGCUUUUAAAGCACCCGACGACGAUACCACGCUCCACGCCAGACCGUAAUUUAUUUCUUCAUCUCCGAUAAGAUGAAUCUCCGUUGCGCGGACUCGGCCAUCUAUGAAUUCCCCUGCGCGAGGGCUGCCUCGUUAAAGGAUUUAAGUACGGAGAUUUAAGUAUCGGGAAUUGUCUGCCGGAUUAUCUUAACGACUAUCUUAACGCGUUCAGGACGAGGUUUCCCGUUGGUGGAUCGCUCUCGAAAAUCGAGUAUUACCUGCCACCAGAAAGAUUUAAUUGAACGAUUUUCCAACUUUCUCGUUGAAGAUUGAUGCUCGUUGAUUAGCUUACGAUUUAUCGGACAGCAGUGGACGACUAUGUAAAAUCACUUUCCAAAUUACUAGUAUAAUCCAGAUAGGAAUCGAGCGUUCCAUUCGUUUCGGUGCCUAAACCUAAUAUGUAACUAUUAAUAGUCGAAACGAGGUCAAUGGCAAGAUGGACGAAUAAUAAGAAGGAUAAGAAGUGGGGAGGAAUGGGAGAAAUCAAAGAAAGAAACUAGUAGAAAAGAGUAGAGCUCUGGCGUCUAAUCGUGCGGUCCGAAGCAAGCGAGCGUAAUUUAUUUCUUCUUCCUCGAUAAGAUGAAUCUUGUGACGGGACGAAUGGGAGGCAGAGAGAAAAAGAGAGAGAGAGAGACAGA